rnacentral:lncRNA from 1 species
GAUAGUCAAGUUGUCCCAGCUAAGUGUAACUAAACAAAUCCAAUCUAUUAUAAAUUAAACUUCAUAUUUAUACUAUCUCAAAAAGAAGGGCCUUGGAUCGAUGGUUUAAAAUUCAGAGGCCAAAUUAAGAUGAACUGUGAUGUUACCAUGAUAUAAUCAAUAUAUUAAUUAUUUAUCAAUAAUAAGUAAAAUCAUAUUAAAUAUA